ACGACAAUAUCACGUUGAAACACCGGUUCCUAUACGAUCUUCCAAGUUAAGCAACGUCGAUCCUAGUCAGUACCUAGAUGGGUAACCACUUGAGACUACAAGGUGCUGUA